CAGGUGCUGAGCUUUGAGGAGAGUAUCAGGGUUUGGGCUCUGCUGCCUUUCCCCGAAGAACUCACUUGGGAAGCAGUCAGAUUAGAAGAUAAUUCUGAAACAAAUGCCAGCCACUCUUUAAUUACAAAAAUGACGGAUGAGCUGUAUCACCAUGUGCCUGAGAAUCAUUGUGUUUUAAAGGACUUGGAUCAUCUUCCUACUGAGACACCCACCAGUGAUACGCAGCUAGCCCUGGCUCCCAGAAAGCCGCAGCCUUGCAGGUACAGAAGGAGAGUGAGGUACAGGAUUGUGCUGGAAGUGCUGGUUGUGCUCCAAAGCAUCGG